CCUCCGUCCCAAAAUAAGUAUUAACGUUCAAUGUUUGACCGUUCGUCUUAUUUGAAAAUUUUUUAUAAUUAGUAUUUUUAUUGCUAUUAGAUGUUAAAACAUAAAUAGUACUUUAUGUGUGACUAAAUAUUUUUAAAUUUUUCAUAAUUUUUUUAAAUAAGACGGACGGUCAAACGUUGGGCACGGAUAUCCACGGCUGUAUUUAUU
rfam:Oryza glaberrima chromosome 11 Oglab11_unplaced048_1, whole genome shotgun sequence.